UAGGGAAUCUUCCGCAAUGGACGCAAGUCUGACGGAGCAACGCCGCGUGAGUGAAGAAGGAUUUCGGUUCGUAAAACUCUGUUGUUAGAGAAGAACAGCGCAUAGAGCAACUGUUAUGCGUGUGACGGUAUCUAACCAGAAAGCCACGGCUAACUACGUGCCAGCAGCCGCGGUAAUACGUAGGUGGCAAGCGUUGUCCGGAUUUAUUGGGCGUAAAGCGAGCGCAGGCGGUCAAUUAAGUCUGAUGUGAAAGCCCCCGGCUCAACCGGGGAGGGUCAUUGGAAACUGGUUGACUUGAGUGCAGAAGAGGAGAGUGGAAUUCCAUGUGUAGCGGUGAAAUGCGUAGAUAUAUGGAGGAACACCAGUGGCGAAGGCGACUCUCUGGUCUGUAACUGACGCUGAGGCUCGAAAGCGUGGGUAGCAAACAGG
rnacentral:rRNA from 1 species